CCAAGUAAAGAAGGAGAUUGGAGCAGAGGGGCCAGCGAGCGUCAACGCAGAGUCCCGUGGCGGCAAGGGACGAGGGAGAUGAGGAAUACUGGCAGGAGCUGGAGUUCCGAGACAGAAUGGCGCGCGAAGUGGAGCGCCAGCGAGCUCUGGGAACUCUGAGGCCGCCAUCUCCAACAGAGCUCCCAACCCCCCGAAUGGGCGUCGGGGUGGAAAGGCCACUGGGGCCAGGGAUCGGGUCCAGUGGAUUUGCAGACGAAGGCGGAGAGGAGCGGGGGAUCCAGGAAGAGGAGGAGGAUGUGCCGUACGACGAGGAAAGGCGAGAUGAGGGGGCUACAGCGAGGCCAGUAUGCGGAUGGGCGGAAGGGCCGACAGCGGCGGCAGACUUUCGGGAGCCGCGCAGAAUGACCACCGGAGUGGGGCGCGGCGUGUUCCAAGGAGCCGCCCGAGGAAACCUGAUGCAACCCUUCCCCAUGCCUCCCAGACAGCAUCAACGGGCCGCAGAAUGGAUGCCAAGAAGGGAAGAUCUCAAACUAGAAUACGGAGGGGAAUCAGAUGAACUGAACUUUUUUCUAAUUAGCAUCAGAGGAUACAUGGAAGACAAUACACACACAUUCCCCUCCGAAGCAAGCAGGGUUCGAGCCAUCGGCAACACACUAAAGCGAGGAGCAGCCAGCUGGUAUGUGCAACUACAUGCCAGACACGACCCAUGCCUGAGGUCAGUGCCCCGCUUCCUCGCCGCACUGGAAAACCGGUUCAGAGACCGGCUAGAGCAAUUGAGGGCUCGAGACCAGCUGAAAGGAAUAAAGCAGAGGGACAAAACAGUGCCCGAGUACGCAGAGGAAUUCCUCCACCUCGCGGAAAGGGUACCAGAGUGGUCUGAAGUGACCAAAGUGGAGUUAUUUAAAGAGGGACUACGCCCCGAGAUUUUCAGCUGGGCAGCGCACAGAGAUGACCCCGAAACGCUCCAGGGAUGGAUUCAACUAGCGGGGCGCGUCGAAUCCACCCUGGCCCAAGUAAAGCGCUUCAGGAGCAGCAGCGGCCAGCAAAGACCGGUGGCGAGAGGUCGAGGAGAAACGAGGAAGCAGGAAAGACCCGGAGGGAGGCCGGGGAUUCCCUCCAGAGGAGACGACAACAAACCUAAACCGGGAUGCUUUGUAUGUGGGAAGACGGGCCAUCGAGCAGCAGAAUGCUGGGCCCGGAAGGGGGAGCCGCCAAAACCCCCAAAGCCCAAGCCAGCAACCGGGAGGCGCGCGGAAGAGGAGGUGCAGGCCCCAGAAUCUUCAGAAAAACUGAACUAUAAUGAAAGAAGAACCGAAGAGGAGGACGAAGAAAACGAGGGCGCCAUGUCAUGUAGCCAGAUCCCAGGGCUGAAUUUCCAAGCCCUGAAUCUGACUUCAUAACAUAAACAAUCCUGCAAGCACCUGGCGGGAGAAGAUAAGAUGAGCCUGGGAACUCAGGGUUGAAAGUAUAAACAAUUAUAAUUGAUGUAGUGUGUGGGAAUGGUAGUAAUGUGAUCCAGGGGGUGGGAUUUGAUGAUGAUAUUUGCGUGUGGUAUUACGUUGCAUCAGAAGUGAUAAAAUUAGAUGUAUGUAAACAUUAGGUCAUUCUCGACUUUUCCAAAGUCAUGUAUUCUUCAAUAAAGAUUGGAUUUGAGAGCAGCUAUCUUUGAUCUGCGUUCAGACUGGUCCUUUGAAGUGAGCCCGACACUCAUCUCCAUUUCUAAGCUGAAGAACCAGUGUAUUCCAUAGACACCUCCAAGGUCAGGUGGACUAUAUGAAGCACUGUUACCUUCUUGCCAGAGCGGUACCUAUUGAUCUACUCACAUUUGCAUAUUUUCAAUCUGCUAGAUUGGCAGAAGCUGGGGCUAACAGCAGGAGCUCACCCCACUGGUCAGCAAAUUCAGCAGCUUGUAAAACUACAACUCCAAUUGUUCCAUUACAUUGAGUCAUGGACAUUAAAGUGGUGUCAAACUGCAUUAAAUCUAUGGUGUAGAUGCAUGCUAGGAUAUUACAUACAUUGAAUUUGAGAGUUGAGGAGGUACCAUUUAGGUCCCUGCUUCAAAUAUGAAUUAUCUUGUAAUGGUUCUGGUCUAUGUACCAGAUGACUUUCUUCAUUUCUUGUCUUGGUUUUUGACUCUGGUUUGUACUUGAACUUGUUCCUUUUCUUCUUCAAUUGUUAUCUGUUUGGGUGCAUCUACACUGUUUGGAACCAAUGUUUGGCACCAAUGUAACCGUGUGGCUCAAUGCUCUGUAACCUUGGUAUAGUAUUUGUAGUUUUAUAAAGCACCAGCCCUCUUUGGCAGAGAAGGCUAAAGACCUAUCAAGGAUUUGGAGACUUCUAUGAAAAUCAAGGGCUGUCCUCCACUUAAUAGAAAUAAAUAGAAGCAUCACAAGUCAAAUGGCAAAAUAAAAACACUGUGUUGGUAGAUGUGAACCGCUCCGAGUCUCCGAGUCCCCUCGGGGAGAUGGAAGGGGGUUAAAGAUUAUUAUUAUUAUUAUUAUUAUUAUUAAUUGAUUUCUGGUGAAAUGAGAAUUGCUAUGAAGAUCUUAGUAUUGUGUUGCAUAUUAGUCCCAGACUAUGUUAGGGGUUGUCUGUUGACACAUGUAUUAGGAAUAUAUUCAUAACCUGUUAGGAUUAUGAUACCAAUAUGGUUAGAUAUUGGUGCAGAGUAGCAAAAACUCAAAAGACUAGGGGUUUAUGUGAGCAGAGGUGAGAAAAAGCAAAAUAGCCAACCUCCCUUUACCUUUAAAGAGUCAUGUGCAUAAAAUAAGCAUCAGUGACAUCAAAAGUAAAAUAGUAAAAAUAUGUUUACUCACAAUCUUGUAUGAUGAUGGUCAUACAGGUAAAAACAUCUUAGUUCCAAAAGAAUACAGUUCAGGAUACUACAUAUCUCUUAACAAAGAAGUGGAGCCCCCGGUGGCGUAGUGGAUUAAAGCCUUGUGACUUGAAGGUUGGGUUGCUGAUCUGAAAGCAGCCAGGUUCAAAUCUCACCCGGGGAGAGCGCGGAUGAGCUCCCUCUAUCAGCUAUCAGCUCCAGCUCCAUGUGUGUCCCCAGAAAGGAUACUCCCCUUUUUCACUUCACAUGCACAACCCUUAAAUGGUGCCAUCAACUUUGGAAUGCAGCUUGGCUCAGGUUACUAAGCAACAAACAAAACUAACUACAUAAACCAUCCCACAUUGAAAAUGCAUGCAUGAUAGCUUAGAUAACCCAACAACAUGGCCUUUAGAAAUCCUUAUAUUGGAGCAUCUAGAGUUCCUUGCCUCAUUUCAUUUCUGCAUUGCAUUGCAAAUGAGAGCAAGAAAUGGCUCUUUACCCAAACAGAGUGGGACUGAGUUUGCUUUUCUCUCAGCAGCUUUGAUGCCUCAAAGUUAAUGAACUCCUUCUCUUUAAUUGAUUCCCCACAUCCGAUGAGUACCUCCCCCUGGAAAUACGUUUCCUGUCUUGCCCCGAAACAAAAAAAGAGCCUUAACCUUUCUGUAGAGCUUGACUUCCAUCUGUUUCUUCUGCUUCCUCCAACUGUGCUUCAUCUCUUUCCCAUUAAACAUCAAGUUCCAGAGCACCUGUCCUAGCAGCUGUUCUGCCUUGGCUACAUGUCCGUACGUAAGGCUGAGUUAGGCAGCACUUUCCAUUCUUCUUCUUCUUGGGACUUGGUUUCCACCUCAAUUCACGGUCCAGGUUACUCCUCCCUGGAUAUGCUCAGAUUUCCUAAUGCUCUACCAGGAAUCCAAAUAAAAUCGCAGCAAAUAGACUCAAUCCAAAGUCCAAGAAAGUUACAACAGCCUACUUUAUGAAGGAGUUCUUUUGACACCAUUUCUGUUUGGGUCAAUGGGAAAUCUCUGUUGGCUUUUUUUUUUUUUUUGCAGAGAUGGAGAGAAGCAUUGGGCAAAGUGGUACCAGAUGCCUUCUUGUGCACCAACUGGAAAAAUAUUUCUGUUACUGUAACUCUUUUGGUGUCAUUUCCAAUGUAUGGUGGCCAUAAGGAAACUCCAUCAACAGGUUUUGUUGGCAAGAUUUGCUCAGUGGUUUGCCUUUGCCACCUUCUGAAACUCAUAGAAAUCAUAGAGUUGGAAGAUCGCAAGGGUCAUCUAGGCAAACUUCAUCCUGCCAUGCAGGAAUACACAAUCCUGUGGUGCUCAACCUGUGGGUCCCCAGGUGUUUUGGCCUACAACUCCCAAAAAAUCCCAGCCAGUUUACCAGCUGUUAUGAUUUCUGGGAAUUGAAAGCCAAAAUAUCUGGGGACUCACAAGAUGAGAACCACUGCUCUAGGCAGAUGACCAAACAGUGUCUGUUUUUAAUAAAAUCCAAAGAAGGAGACCCCAUUACACUCCAAGGUACUGUCUUCCACUGUGAAACAGCUAUUUCCAUCAGGAGGUCCUUUCUCAUCUUCAAGUGGGACUUUGUUCCUGGAGUUUGAAUCCAUUGUUCCAUGUCUCUAGAGCACUGUUUUUGUUUUUGUUUGUUUGUUUUUUUACCAGGGACCACUUGACCAGGGACCACUUUGAGCAGGGACCACUCUACAACAUGUACCCAAAGAAUUACGAAUCAGUUUUUGGUCAACUUUAGAUUCAGUUUGGUUGUUUGGGGUGCUGAUUCAGAAAAUUGCAUUGGAUAGACCACAUCAGCUCUAGUUUCUGAUACAGAACAUAUACCAUCCAGUAGUCACUAUCUGCUAACCCACAGAAA
ensembl:lncRNA